rnacentral:tRNA from 1 species
GCACCGGUAGCUCAUUUGGUAGAGCGUGCGAUUGCAAAUCGCGAGGUAGCGCGUUCAAUCCGCGCCCGGGGCU